GAGGUGGCUUUCCUGAGCCACAGGAGUUUGCAACCCUGUGAUGGGAUGACCUGAGACCUUGUUUUCCAUGGAUGCUGUUACACUGCUAUUGGAAGAACACCAGGAGAUGCUCAGCUUCUUGACAGACUGUCAGUGUAAGGCUUUCUCCUGGGCGUGAGACAGUGGCCAAGAUACACACAGAGGCACAUUGGAAACGCAGUAGAAAAUGGCUGCCAAUUUAAAACCAGAAGUUAAGAAGAGCAAACUCGAAUGUACAGCAAAAGAGCUUCAGGCUGGACUGGCUUCCAGCAGAAGUGGGACUGGAAACCUCGGUUCUAUUGUCUCUUCUCUGUGAAGUGGGAAAACAUGGAGAACCUUGGCAUUUACCCAGAGAAACAUCCUAAUGUGUACCAUGGCAGGGCGUGGUAAAGAACCUAGAAACAUGUCAGUCAGUAGAAGGUGUGUUGGCCCCCGGGAAGCCAAGCAUUUGUCUGAUGAAGCAUAGAGUGGAUUCUGGCUUAUAUCUUUCAUCACUUGGCUGGGUCCUUCGUCAGAUGAAAAGGUAGCAGCUGAGAGCAUUAGCAGAAACAAUUGACGGGCUAAGCUCUCUGUGAGAGCAGCAGACUCAAUCGAGGAGGGCUGGGAGCCCAGGCGUGGGCUGUCAUGAGAAGUCCACUUGCAGCAGUGGCAGUGAUCCUCAUAAACACAGGCCCACCGUGCUCAGAGCCCCAUUUUCCCACUGACAUUGGCCAAGAUGCAUCCUGGCUGUGUGCAGACCCCAGAGAGAACUGCCCGAUAGUGGCAACACUGGCACAGUGGCCAGCCAAGGAGGGAAAAGCAAAGCAAAGAGGACUGAAGAUAUGAAGACACAUAUCUCUACUGAGAAGAGCUCAUCAUAGAACAAGGACAAAUGGCCAGCAAGACGCCAUGCCUGAAAAUAUUCAAACACCAAGUCCAGCUUCCUGGUCUCAACUAUGUCAUCGGAAGUGUGUAGAUUCUAGGCUGGAGAGCUACUUUUGUUCAAUAGGUGGAAACAAAAAUUCAUUAAGCAUCCUGAAAUUAUUGCUGAAUUCAGGGAUGAGGGCAGCUUUGAUUUCUUCUCUGAACUUGGAAUUGUUUGCUGGAUUUUGCAGGCUUGACUCCUCGACGUCAGCAGUGCAGUUGUAGAAACAAAUCAGCAGCAGCAGCCACACCUAAGCUGGGUUGCGCCUUCCUGGCAGGUGUCCCUGCCAAGAUGGGAAAACCUGAGAUGCUCCCCAGUGGGUGCAAAUAUGUGGGAGAAAAUUGAAUAAAAUUU